rnacentral:lncRNA from 1 species
UAUAUGCCACAAAGUCGUAAUUUAAAAAUAAAAAUUGACCUGUUUCGGGAUUUUUUUCCAAAAUCGUCCGUUCUUGAGAAAAUGAAUUUAUUCCAACCUUUACGUGCUCACUGUAUAACCACUAAUACUAGUAGAAAGAAAAGUAUUAGUAAAUGAAGAAGCAGCUGACAGUAUAUCUCCCAAGAAAAUUGACAUCAAAAUCAAAAUAGGGCUAUUUAUUUUCGACAUUUUUCUCGUACUCUUGACAUAUGACGUACAAUAUAUACGCCAUAUGUUAAAAGUACGAGAAAAUGACGGCGAUGAAUAGCCCUAAAGGAAAAAAUAGAAAUCAAAAACUAAAAAAAAUGUUGAUUGUGACAUUUGUCCCUUUAGUUAUCUGAAACGAAUUUUAGUUCCUUUCAUAGCUAUGUUGAUAAAAUUUGAUAUAAUUUGUGAAAUUAGAUAUUGCAAAGCAGUCAGUAAAAAUACAUGUGGUAUACUACACGAUAGCGCAUGCGCUCUACUACAAAAAUUAUGAUGAUUAUUAAAUACAAAAGUGAUCAUUUUUUAACGUUACACUGCCCAACACAAUUGCAAAAUUUUGGGGCUCGGAGAAGGUUAUCCACAUCUAUACAAGCUUUAAAUAUCGAGUGAUUGAUUUCUAUUACACAGUAAAUCAAAAUAAUGCAACUAUAAGAGCAACAAUUAGGUUAGAAAACAUCACAGUAAAAAACUUCUUAUUGGUAGGUAUAAUUUAAUUAAAAAUCUUACAAAAUCCAAAUGGAUUACAUAAAUGUGUUCAGAACGUCUUCGGACCUAUCAGUCCAUCAUCAGUGAACCUAAAAUAGAAUAAGUAGUCCCACUAAUGAAAUUGAAAAGACGGUUGAAAUUUUGAUUUAAAAAAAGUGGUUAUGAUUACUUACUCUUGUACUUACUAAAUAGCCCCAGAACCAAACAGUGGUUAUAUUUAGAAUUCAGAAGAAUCCGUACACGAAAGCUUAAACAACCAUCGUGGUCUACUGACGUCUGUCAAGUGACAAUAUAAAAUGUGGAAGUACUUCAAUUGUCAUCGAAGGUAUCCAUUAACAUUGGCUUUAAGCCUUUUCAAUUUUACAAUUUAACAAUGUAAAUUGAACUUUAAAUAUAACCACUGUUUGGUGCUGGGGCUAUUCAGCAAGUACAAGAGUAAGUAAUCAUAACCACAUUUUUAUUAAAAAUCAAAAGUUCAAUCAUCUUUUUUCAAUUUCAUUAGUGUGAUUAUUUAUUCCAUUUUAGGUUCACUGAUGAUGGACUGAUAGGUCCGAAAACGUUCUGAACACAUUUAUGUAAUCCGUUUAGAUUUUUUAAGAUUUUUAAUUAAAUUAUACCUACUACUAAGGAGUUGUUUACUUCGAUGUUAGAGAUUUUUAAUUACAUGGUAUACAGCCAACUCUUGGGAACUUUCCCAUUUUAAUUAGGUUAUGUCGCACGUCAAACUGUCAUUAGUCACUUAAUAAACUUGAAAAAAAUAAAAUAAUACAGUCUUAAAUUUGUAUUUUAUAUAAUAUUAAGAAUACUAAAAGUUGAUUACGUGCUAAAGUUUCAUAUUUGAUUUACUCUGUACGUUCGCUCAACCAUAUUGAUUUAUUUUUCUAACAAGAUUAUCUUAAUCUUAAACAUCUACUUGUGUAUUUGUCAAUAACAAAACUCUAAAGAAAACAAGGUUGAUGUCAGCAAUAACAGAACAACAGAAACACAUUUUCACAAAAUUUCUUUAAAAUAUUAUUAAAAACAUAAAGUACCUACUUAAAUAUAUUAUAUUGAACAAAGUUCAUCAGAUAAAAUUUUAAAAAUCACUAUAAAUAUCAGUAAUCGGAAAAUUUUUAUUGGUUUGAUGACUAAGAUUGCACACCACAGCAUAGGUUUGAUGCUUUUUGAUCUAUCAGUUAUAAUAGUUCACAUAUUAAUUGUCCUCCAUAGUGAUUUUUUUAGGUUGUUUUGAAAUGUAUGGUCUUGAAGUUGCCAGCUCAUAAAAACGACACUACCUACCACUACCUAUUUUUGAUCAGAUUGUAAUGAUGUGAUGCCUGCGAUGUGCCGGUCGACCAAAAACAACCAUAGGAGCAGCCGUGUUGGCGCAUAGCACCGCUGGGGGAAACAGAAGGAGUAAUGGCAUCGAGAGCAUAUUUAAGGCGAGCCAGGAGAAUGAGAAAAUCGGUCGUUGCUAGUGUGUUGAACUAGCAAUGGCUAGACAGCUGGUGCUAGCGUGUUGAACUAGCACUAGCUGGAUGGGCAAAGAUGCACCGUUUGUGAGGUUGAACUAUGCCUAGGCGAACGCCACCGUGGUGAAGUGGAGUUUUGCCAUGACCGUUAUCGCAGGAGGCGGUAGUAGCGAGGAACGAGUGACUAGGCGCCGCAUUGAAGUGAAAUGCGGAUCGGAAUAUAGCGCUAUGUUGAUUUAACGUAGCGAGGUUGUUAUUGUAUUAUAUUGUAUUGUUUAUCGUAUCAUUUUAAUGUUGCUAUUAUGACUGUAAUAAAGUUUGAUAUUGUUUUUCCUUUGCAGAAGACGGAAUUAUAUUUUAUAUUAUUUGUUUUAAACUGUAUAUAAUUAUCUUAAAUAUGUUUACUUUAUUUUUAACCUUAGUUUUACUGAGCCUGUCGUCCUGAAAACACUACCCGUUACAAGAUGCGAACCAGAGUUUUGCUAUGUCUAGAGAAUAUCCCCGAAUGUAGGAACUUUUAUAGCUCAUAUCAGAAAGGAUAUUUUAUUCCUCACUAGACCGAGCACGGAAAAGUCUUUAGCAUAUCCUUCCGAAUGAGGAGGAUGUAACAAGAGAGAUACACAUAUGAUGAAGCUUAUAACAAUUUGGAAAAACUCAACCGCAACAGUGUACAUAAAAUUAAGAUUUGUAAGAGCACUCAUUUUUCUCAUAGUAUUUGAAACGUAGACCCUGACGAAAGCAGAUUAGAACAAAAUAGAUGCUUUUGAGAUUUGGGUAUACCCCGCAUGUUGAGAAUGUCUUAGGUUGAAGAUCGAACAUGAUAGAACAACUCAAUUAAUGGAUAGGUUGCUUAAACAAAUACAACAGAAAUACUUACAGUAUUUUGAACACAUUGUCAGAAGACCAGGCACGAUGGAAAAACUCAUUAUCGAGGGCAAAGUUGAUGGAACGAGAAAGAGGGAAGGAUCUCCAAGCCGUUGGGUGUAUCAAACAAAAACACUAAUCAACCGAGGAAUUCAAGAGGCCGAACAACUAGCCCAGAAGAGAGAACGGUGGAAAGAAGUUAUAAAACUUUAAUGGUGUCAUCACACGCCUAUAAGUGAUAACGGACCAAGGAGGAUCCCUCCUUAUUGCAACUACACAUACUGAUGAGGGUCAGUAACUCUAGGAGUUUAAUGAGAAUUGGAUGUGUUUGGGAUAUGAAAUGAUUUUACAAUACUUAAAAGUUUGAAAGUAAAGCACAUAUUUGCAUCCUUAUACACACUCGUACACUACAAAGGUUAAAAUAGUUAUUUUCAAAUAUCUUUAACACAGAGAACACUAGAUAACAAUGAACAGAGCAUAAGAACGGACAGAAGUAAAAAUGAUAUGCUGUUUUUGAACAACAAUUACCGAUGGUAUUGUUCAAAAAAGAGAUAACUAAAACAUCCAACCCAUUAUUAUAACAAAUUUACAUUGUACACUUAUCUCUUGCUGAUAUCAACGCUUGUCAGUCUUCAAAGAUAACAAACAAACGAGUAAAACUGAGCUGUUUCAUGUCGCAAGCACGCAGGUUAUAGGCAUAUUUCCAAAACGUCCACAUUGUCUCUUCAAUCAUCAAACAACGAUAUACAAGGGGUGAGUCAAAAUUGCGCGACUGAUUUCCUUCAUUUUAGAAAUAAUAUCACUUAAAAUAACAACUAGGUUUUAUCAUUCCUGAUUAAUUUAUUCCGUCUCCUUAUAGCUUAGUUUAUUUUGUGUUUCGAUUUUAUUUUAUUAUUUUAGAUUCAUAUCGGUCAUUCUUAAAGUUUGGUUAAAUUAGUUUCCAGCAAUCUCUUAAAAGAUUAAAAGACAUUCAUAUUUUACAUAUUUCUGGGAAAAUUUGUCUAUCAUAAUCAGUCUAUCAUAAAGUGGGUAUUUUAGAAUUUACAAUUAGUCGAAUCAAACGGUUAUUGUUUAUAUUUUUACUCAGUAGCCAGCAAAACUAAGCUCUGUAGUUCUAUCAAAAUUGUCGUCGUAUAUUAUUUUAAUUGGAUAAAAUAAUAUUUUAUUGCAACUAUAUCUCAAGGUUAACUAAUCGUGGGUCAAGACAUGGUCCUUAGAGCCGGAUAGAACUUCGUGGUCUUCGUGUCGUAUUUGAAGAGCUGAUCCUGGUUAUUGUCGAAAAG